GAAUCCUUAGGAAAUCUUAUACCCCUGCCCUCCGAAGGCAGAGGUCAGAGGUUCGAAUCCUCUUGGGUGCGCCA
rnacentral:tRNA from 1 species